rnacentral:rRNA from 1 species
AGGGUUCGAUUCUGGCUCAGGACGAACGCUGGCGGUGUGCCUCAUACAUGCAAGUCGAACGAUAAGGUUCUUCGGAAAUACAUAAGUGGCGGACGGGUGAGUACAACAUAGGAAAUCUGCCCUAAACCGGGGGACAACAGAGGGAAACUUCUGCUAAUACCCCAUACGAGCUUAGUUGAAAUACUAAUCUUGAAAGCUCCGGCGGUUUAGGAUGAGCCUGUGCCUGAUUAGCUGGUUGGUGGUGUAAUGGACUACCAAGGCGACGAUCAGUAGCUGGUUUGAGAGGAUGAUCAGCCACAAUGGGACUGAGACACGGCCCAUACUCCUACGGGAGGCAGCAGUAGGGAAUUUUGCGCAAUGGGCGAAAGCCUGAACCGCAGCAACACCGCGUGAAUGUUAAGCCCUUCGGGGUGUAAAGUUCUGUCAGUAGGGAAGAACAAAUGACUGUACCUACAAAGGAAGCACCGGCUAACUCCGUGCCAGCAGCCGC